rnacentral:ncRNA from 23 species
AAAUUGAAUCAGGCAUACGGUUGCAGCGUUUGCUGCAUGAAAAGGGAACACGGUGAAAAACCGCGACAGCCCCCGCUACUGUGAGAAGGAUGACGCUCUCAAAGCCACUGGAUGAAGAUCCGGGAAGGGAGAGCGGAAGAUGAUUUCGAGUCAGGAGACCUGCCGUAUCGCCAAAGCAUCAG